CAGUCGCCGCGGGAAUACGAAGGGUGCAAGCGUUACUCGGAAUUACUGGGCGUAAAGCGUGCGUAGGUGGUGGUUUAAGUCCGUUGUGAAAGCCCUGGGCUCAACCUGGGAAUUGCAGUGGAUACUGGAUCACUAGAGUGUGGUAGAGGAUAGUGGAAUUUCCGGUGUAGCAGUGAAAUGCGUAGAGAUCGGAAGGAACAUCUGUGGCGAAGGCGACUAUCUGGGCCAACACUGACACUGAGGUACGAAAGCGUGGGGAGCAAACAGGAUUAGAUACCCCAGUAGUCCCUGUCUCUUAUAC
rnacentral:rRNA from 1 species